rnacentral:lncRNA from 1 species
CUCGGCUCACUGCAAGCUCCGCCUCCCGGGUUCACGCCAUUCUCCUGCCUCAGCCUCCCGAGUAGCUGGGACUACAGGUGCCCGCCACCGCGCCCGGCUAAUUUUUUGUCUUUUUUAGUAGAGAUGGGGUUUCACCGUGGUCUCAAUCUCCUGACCUCGUGAUCGGCCCGCCUCGGCCUCCCAAAGUGCUGGGAUUACAGGCGUGAGCCACCGCGCCCGGCCUCUUCCCUCUUCUUUAGGUCCUUUCUUCUCCUUUGUUUUUUGUCCCUUUUUGCAAUGUCUCCCUAAGGCUGUGGCACUAAACCUUCCAUGUUUCACACCCAAACUAGUACAAUAAACCUCCUGUCACCAAUUUCUCCCUCCUCCAGCCCACCCAGCACACUGCUACCUGAUUUCCUGAAAACCUAAUUCAAGAGGAAACACACUGAUUUCACCCUUGCUCAAGAAUUCAUGGCAGGGCUAUGCACGGUGGCUCACGCCUGUAAUCUCAGCACUUUGGGAGGCCGAGAUAUGCAGAUUGCUUAAGCUCAGGAGUUCAAGACCAGCCUGGACAACAUGGAAAGACCCUGUCUCCACAAAAAGAUGCAAAAAAUUAGCCAGGUGUGGUGGUACACACCUGCAGUCCCAGCUACUUGGGAGGCUAAGCUGGGAGACUCACUUGAGCCCAGGAAGUUGAGGCGGCAGUGAGCUGUGAUCAUGCCACUGCACUCUAGCCUGGGUGAUGGAGUAAGACUCUGUCUCAAAAGAAAAAAAAAAAGAAUUCACGGUGGCUGUCUCUUGUUGACCCUAUUUAACUCAAGCGCAUCCAGGCCACAGGGUUCUGCAGCUCUGAGAUUCUGCAGAAUCUGGCCUCUUACCACGCACUCACACAAACACUGUGCUCCAUACUUAGGCAGAUAUGGCCGUCAUUCCAGAAAUAUAUCCAGCCCAGCUGGUCCUCUGAUUCUGCUGCUCAUGGUCUUCCUAUCCUUAAAAGUCUAACUCAAAUCUUCACUUCUCUUUGGCCAUUCCGUUCCUGUGGUGGGUUGAAUAGUGGCCCCCCCAAAAGAUAGAUAUAUCUAAGUCCUACCCUCUGGAACCUGUGAAUGUGACCUGAUUUCGAAAAAGAGUCUUCGCAGAUUUGCAGAGAUCCUAAGAGCUCAAGAUGAGUUCUCCCUGGAUUUAGGGUGGGCUCGAAAGCUGUCUGGAUGGAGGAGACAACCUUCAAGAGGCCAGCCUUUAUUUGAUCUCCGUCCCAGCUCCUCCUUCCCCUCGCUGAGAAGAGGGAGAAGAAAAUCGUCCCUCCUUCACUCGCACAGGCCCCUCCAGCAGCAGCUGUCUGGUGUGCUCAGAUGCAACCCCCAGCAUGGGGGACGUCAGGUCCAGGGUGGAGAAUGGGCGCAGGUUCUGUCACUCGGAGGCAGUACUGGACAUAGGGGUGGAACCGCUGGCCAAACUGGAGAGACAGAUACGGGAGGUGGGGAGCAGGCAUGGGGAGAAGGCCAUGAAUACAGGCUCUAGCUGCAGGACCCAGGAGGUCAAAGUCCCUGGUUGCCAUGCAUGGACCAAAGAGAGAUAUAUCCCUGAGAGGUCCUAGGCAGAGCCAUGUCUGACUGGCAGGCAGCAGCCUCCUGGACCUGUGUUCUCAGCUCCCGGAGCUUGCUGGUCAUCUGCGGAGCCAUCACAAUUGGGGCCGUAUGUGUGGGGAUGGGCGGAUCACAAGGUCGGGAGAUGGAGACCAGCCUGGCCAAUAUGGUGAAACCCCGACUCUACUAAAAAUACAAAAAUUAGCUGGGCAUGGUGACGGGCGCCUGUAGUCCCAGCUACUUGGGAGGCUGAGGCGGGAGAAUCGCUUGAACCUGGGAGGUGGAGGUUGCAGUGAGCCAAGACAGCACUACUGCACUCCAGCCUGGGCAACAGAGUGAAACUCCAUCUCAAAAAAAAAAAAAAAAAAAAAGAAAGAAAAAGAAAAAGAUGCUGUGGAAGGACUGACACAUGCUGGGCAUUGCAUGAAAGGACCAUACUUUAUUUUCUUUAUUUUUAAAAUUUAUUUUUUAAAAAGAAAAUAGAGACAAUAUCUUGCUGUGUGGCCCAGGAUGGACUCCAACUCCUGGGUUCAAGCGAUCCUCCUGCUUCGGUUUCCCCACCUUUUCACUUCUCCAAAUCAUGGCACCUCGUCUGACAGAAGCACUGGAUAUUUGAGAUAGAAGUGUCCUGUGGAUGUGUGGUCAUUAUAAUCUCACAACCAUGAAACCCAAGACCCUGUAGUUGGCAGGUGGCAGGUCUGAGGCUCCCAGCCCCUCACCCUGACUGUGGUCUAUUUCCUGCCAAUGAACUCAACAGUGAUUGAUACGGCUCCUUACUUCUUCAGAGCAUCCUGAAGUU